UAGAGUUUGAUCCUGGCUCAGGAUGAACGCUAGCUACAGGCUUAACACAUGCAAGUCGAGGGGAAACGGCAUUGAGUGCUUGCACUCUUUGGACGUCGACCGGCGCACGGGUGAGUAACGCGCAUCCAACCUUCCCAUUACUGUGGGAUAACCUGCCGAAAGGCAGACUAAUACCGCAUAGUCUUCGAUGACGGCAUCAGAUUUGAAGUAAAGAUUUAUCGGUAAUGGAUGGGGAUGCGUCUGAUUAGCUUGUUGGCGGGGUAACGGCCCACCAAGGCGACGAUCAGUAGGGGUUCUGAGAGGAAGGUCCCCCACAUUGGAACUGAGACACGGUCCAAACUCCUACGGGAGGCAGCAGUGAGGAAUAUUGGUCAAUGGACGGAAGUCUGAACCAGCCAAGUAGCGUGCAGGAUGACGGCCCUAUGGGUUGUAAACUGCUUUUGUAUGGGGAUAAAGUUAGGGACGUGUCCCUAUUUGCAGGUACCAUACGAAUAAGGACCGGCUAAUUCCGUGCCAGCAGCCGCGGUAAUACGGAAGGUCCAGGCGUUAUCCGGAUUUAUUGGGUUUAAAGGGAGCGUAGGCUGGAGAUUAAGUGUGUUGUGAAAUGUAGACGCUCAACGUCUGACUUGCAGCGCAUACUGGUUUCCUUGAGUACGCACAACGUUGGCGGAAUUCGUCGUGUAGCGGUGAAAUGCUUAGAUAUGACGAAGAACUCCGAUUGCGAAGGCAGCUGACGGGAGCGCAACUGACGCUUAAGCUCGAAGGUGCGGGUAUCAAACAGGAUUAGAUACCCUGGUAGUCCGCACAGUA
rnacentral:rRNA from 1 species